CUCUCUCUCUUUAUUUUUAUUUUGCAUUUUCAUUUCCCACAGUAAAAAUUAAGUUUGAAAUAUUUUUUGUUAAUAUUAAUAAUUUAUAUUAAUUUUCUUGAUAGAAUUUAAGCCUUAAUCAUAAUAAAAAUCGAAUGAAUAUCUGGCUAAUCAUUUGUAUCCUGAAACAGUGAUAUUUAAUUUUAAAACGUGUAUUCAAAGCGAAAUUUCAGGUUAGAACACCCGGGAAAAUUCACAUGGGUCUUAAAAUGAGCAGAAAAUUGCCUUUAGUUGUGAUUUUAGGCUCCACUGGUACAGGAAAGACUAAAUUAUCACUUGAGUUAGCUAAAAAAUUCAAUGGGGAAAUUGUUGGUGCUGAUUCAAUGCAGAUUUACAAGGAACUUGACAUAGCUUCUGCAAAAGCCACAAAGGAAGAAUUGGCCAGUGCUCCACACCACAUGGUCAACAUUUUAGAACCUCAUGAGAAGUUCACAGUUCUUGAAUAUAGAAACCAGGUGUUACCAAUAAUCGAUGACAUGUUUUCAAGAAGUAAACUUCCAAUAGUAGUUGGUGGCACUAAUUACUAUAUAGAAUCAAUUCUCUGGAAGCUUUUAGUUGAUGAGCCUGGUACAAAAGUGAAAUCUGAAUUUGGAAAAUUGCCGAACAAUGAACAUGAGUUACCAAGCCCUGUUUUACAUGAAAAAUUAAAAAACCUGGAUCCUGUUAUGGCUAAGAGAUUGCAUCCCAAUAAUAAAAGGAAAAUUAUCAGAUCUUUGGAGGUGUUAUAUCAAAAAGGAAUAACGCAUAGCCAAAUAAUAGAAGAGCAAGGAGGGUCUUCAAAAUCUGGUGGAGGUCUACGAUAUGACAAUGCCAUUGUUUUUUGGUUGCAAUGUGACAAGGAUGUCCUUGACAAAAGAUUAGAUGACAGGGUAGCUAAAAUGCUGGAGGAAGGUCUGCUGGAUGAGCUGCUACGUUUUCAUAAACUUUAUAACGAGGAAAGGUUUAAAGAUAAAACAGUAGAUGCAGAUUAUUCCAAAGGCAUUUUCCAAUCAAUAGGCUUCAAGGAGUUUCACUCUUACCUUUUGUUGCAAGAUGAUGAAAAAAAUACGGAACAAGGAAAAAAGAUAUUAAAUGAAUCUCUGAAAAUGUUAAAGAUUGCUACUAAGAGAUAUGCCAGAAAACAGACGAAGUGGACUAUUAGUAGGUUUUUGGCAAGAAAAGAUAGACAGGUACCUCCUAUGUACGGUCUCGAUACGACUAACGUAUCAGAGUGGAAUGAAAACGUGACUAAACCUGCAUUUCAUAUAGUGGAUAGUUUUAUUUCGAGAAAAAAGUGCGAUAUUGAACCGAUUCCUAUGCGAGAAGAUUUAUAUUCAAUACCCAAUACUUUAGAAGAAACUUAUAUCUGUGAAGUUUGCAAGAAAAUAUUAGUGGGAGAGAGGCAGUAUGAGGUGCAUAUGAAAUGUCGCAAACAUAAAAUGAUGCUGGCGAAGUCCAAACGUGAAUUAAAAGCGGAAUUGGUUGAAGAAAGUGAAGAUAUGGCAAAUAAAGUGUAAGAAGAAAUGGAAAAAUUCAUGUUAUACGUAAAAUAUAGUGUUAAGUUAAAAAAUAAAGACAUUAUUAGAAAGUAAUUGCAUUAAGUGGAGUAUACUGUGCAGUGGAUGUCUUCUUAAAGGAUCUUUCAUGUUAAGCACCCGUACCCAACAACGGAUCUGAUCCACAGACCGAAAAAUCGCAACACGCUACAGAGCCGAUCUGCUGCCAAGAUAACUCUCGCUAUAAGUUAAUUACGUCGUGUAUCUAGGUGUAGUAUAACUAAUAUUAAUUUAAAAUUAAAUAUACAAAGCUUUAUACAGAAA